AGAGUUUGAUCAUGGCUCAGAUUAAACGCUAGCGGCAUGCCUUACACAUGCAAGUCGAACGGCAGCGGGCUCUUCGGAGUGCCGGCGAGUGGCAAACGGGUGAGUAAUACAUCGGAACAUGCCCAGUAGUGGGGGAUAGCUCGGCGAAAGCCGAAUUAAUACCGCAUACGACCUUCGGGUGAAAGGGGGGGAUCUUCGGACCUCUCGCUAUUGGAGUGGCCGAUGCCUGAUUAGUUUGUUGGUGGGGUAACGGCCUACCAAGACUGCGAUCAGUAGCUGGUCUGAGAGGACGAUCAGCCACACUGGGACUGAGACACGGCCCAGACUCCUACGGGAGGCAGCAGUGGGGAAUCUUGGACAAUGGGCGAAAGCCUGAUCCAGCAAUGCCGCGUGUGCGAUGAAGGCUUUCGGGUUGUAAAGCACUUUUGUCAGGGAAGAAAUGGUUCGGGCCAAUACCCCGGACUUCUGACGGUACCUGAAGAAUAAGCACCGGCUAACUACGUGCCAGCAGCCGCGGUAAUACGUAGGGUGCAAGCGUUAAUCGGAAUUACUGGGCGUAAAGCGUGCGCAGGCGGUUUAC
rnacentral:rRNA from 1 species